AAUGGCUGCAGUAAUUUGACUGUACAAAGGUAGCAUAAUCAUUAGUUUUUUAAUUAAAAGCUUGUAUGAAGGGUUGGACGAAAUAAAAUCUGUCUCUUUUUAAUAUUGUUAGAAUUUAAUUUUUAAGUUAAAAAGCUUAAAUUUUUAUAAAAGACGAGAAGACCCUAUAGAGUUUUAUAAUUUAAAUUUAAUAGUUAAUUUAGAUAUAUUUAUUUUAUUUUUUUAAAAUUAUUUUAUUGGGGUAAUAGAAAGAUUAAAAUAAUUCUUUUUUAUAAAAAUCAUUAAUUUAUGAAAAUUUUAUGAUCCAUUAAAUUUUGAAUAUAAGAUUAAAUUACCUUAGGGAUAACAGCGUAAUUUUUUUUAAGAGUUCAUAUCGAUAAAAAAGUUUGCGACCUCGAUGUUGGAUUAAAGAUUAAUUUAGGGGUAGAAGUUUAAAUUUUUGGUCUGUUCGACCAUUGAAUCUUUACAUGAUCUGAGUUCAAACCGGUGUAAGCCAGGUCGGUUUCU
rnacentral:rRNA from 1 species